rnacentral:rRNA from 1 species
UUAAAUUGAAGAGUUUGAUCAUGGCUCAGAUUGAACGCUGGCGGCAGGCCUAACACAUGCAAGUCGAACGGUAACAGGAAACAGCUUGCUGUUUCGCUGACGAGUGGCGGACGGGUGAGUAAUGUCUGGGAAACUGCCUGAUGGAGGGGGAUAACUACUGGAAACGGUAGCUAAUACCGCAUAACGUCGCAAGACCAAAGAGGGGGACCUUCGGGCCUCUUGCCAUCGGAUGUGCCAGAUGGGAUUAGCUUGUUGGUGGGGUAACGGCUCACCAAGGCGACGAUCCCUAGCUGGUCUGAGAGGAUGACCAGNCACACUGGAACUGAGACACGGUCCAGACUCCUACGGGAGGCAGCAGUGGGGAAUAUUGCACAAUGGGCGCAAGCCUGAUGCAGCCAUGCCGCGUGUAUGAAGAAGGCCUCGGGUUGUAAAGUACUUUCAGCGGGAGGAAGGG